rnacentral:rRNA from 1 species
GAGCGGCGGACGGGUGAGUAACACGUGGACAAGUCUGGCCCCCCGGCCCGGGGAUAGCCCAGGGAAACCUGGAUUAAUACCGGAUGAGACGGGACCCGCGAUGGCGGGAUCCGGGAAAGGCGCUGCGGCGCCGCCGGGGAUGAGUCUGCGUCCCAUUAGCUAGACGGCGGGGUAACGGCCCACCGUGGCGACGAUGGGUAGCCGGCCUGAGAGGGUGGACGGCCACAUUGGAACUGAGACACGGUCCAGACUCCUACGGGAGGCAGCAGCUAAGAAUCUUCCGCAAUGGGCGAAAGCCUGACGGAGCGACGCCCGCGUGAACGAAGAAGGCCGUGAGGUUGUAAAGUUCUUUUCGGGAGGGGGAACGACCGUGGCAGGGAAUGGCCGCGGGAUGACGUGAAUCCCGGAAUAAGCCCCGGCUAACUACGUGCCAGCCGCAGC